AUUGAACGCUGGCGGCAUGCCUAACACAUGCAAGUCGAGCGAGCGACGGACGGGUGCGUACUGUCUGGGAAACUGCCUGAUGGAUAGGGAUAACUACUGGAAACGGUAGCUAAUACCGCAUACCAUCAGAUUUGCCCAGAUGGGAUUAGCUCGUAGGUGGGGUAACGGCUCACCUAGGCGACGAUCCCUAGCUGGUCUGAGAGGAUGACCAGCCACACUGGAACUGAGACACGGUCCAGACGCCUACGGGAGGCAGCAGUGGGGAAUAUUGCACAAUGGGCGAAAGCCUGAUGCAGCCAUGCCGCGUGUGUGAAGAAGGCUUUCGGGUUGUAAAGCACUGUCAGCGGGGAGGCGUUACCCGCAGAAGAAGCACCGGCUAACUACGUGCCAGCAGCCGCGGUAAUUC
rnacentral:rRNA from 1 species